GUGAGGGAACACUCGGAGCAGGGGAUAUGAGAACACUCAGAGAAGGUGAUAUGAGAACACUCAGAGAAGAUGAUUUGAGAACACUAAGAGCAGGUGAUAUGAGAACACUCAGAGAAGAUGAUUUGAGAACACUCAGAGAAGGUGACAUGAGCACACCCAGAGCAGGGGAGGGAACACUCAGAGAAGGUGAGGGAACACUCAGCUAAGGUUAUAUGAGAACACCCUGAGCAGGAGAUAUGAGAACACUCAGAGAAGGUGAUAUGAGAACACUCAGAGAAGGUGAUAUGAGAACACUCAGAGCAGGUGAGGGUACACUCAGAGCAGGUGAGGGUACACUCAGAGCAGGUGAUAUGAGAACACUGAGAGCAGGUGAGGGAACACUCAGAGCAGGUGAUAUGAGAACACUCAGAGCAGGUGAGGGAACAUUCGGAGCAGGUGAGGGUACACUCAUAGCAGGUGCUAUGAGAACACUCAGAGAAGGUGAGGGAACACUCGGAGCAGGGGAUAUGAGAACACUCAGAGAAGGUGAUAUGAGAACACUCAGAGAAGGUGGGGGAACACUCAGAGAUGGUGAUAUGAGAACACUCAGAGAAGGUGAUAUGAGAACACUCAGAGAAGGUGAUAUGAGAACACUCAGAGAAGGUGAUAUGAGAACACUCAGAGCAGGUGAUAUGAGAACACUCAGAGAAUGUGGGGGAACACUCAGAGAAGGUGAUAUGAGAACACUCAGAGAAGGUGGGGGAACACUAAGACCAGGUGAUAUGAGAACACUCAGAGCAGGUGAUAUGAGAACACUCAGAGAAGGUAUAUGAGAACAAUCAGAGCAGGUGAUAUGAGAACACUCAGAGCAGGUGAUAUGAGAACACUCAGAGAAGGUAUAUGAGAACAAUCAGAGCAGGUGAUAUAAGAACACUCAGAGAAGAUGAUUUGAGAACACUCAGAGCAGGUGAGGGAACACUCAGAGCAGGUGAGGGAACACUCAGAGCAGGUGAGGGUACACUCAUAGCAGGUGCUAUGAGAACACUCAGAGAAGGUGAGGGAACACUCGGAGCAGGGGAUAUGAGAACACUCAGAGAAGGUGAGGGAACACUCGGAGCAG
rnacentral:lncRNA from 1 species